UCCUGGUGGCUUAGUGGUAAAGAAUCUGCCUGCAAUACAGGAGACCUGGGUUCGAUCCCUGGGUCAGGAA
rnacentral:tRNA from 1 species